AUGCCUCCUCAACGACCAAUGGUUACAAUGGUUCUGUCGAGCGGUUUUGCGAGAAUAGUUAAUAAUGAGAUCAUCAUUUUAGGAAAUGAUGCAGAACUGGGUAGUGAUAUUGAUCCGGAGGAAGCUCAAAAGGCACUUGAAAUAGCCGAAGCUAACUUGAGUAAAGCUAAGGGUACGAAAGAUUUGGUUGAAGCAAAACGAAGCUCUCAGUCGAGCUAG
rnacentral:rRNA from 1 species